rnacentral:rRNA from 1 species
UACGUAGGGUGCAAGCGUUAAUCGGAAUUACUGGGCGUAAAGCGUGCGCAGGCGGUUUUGUAAGUCAGAUGUGAAAUCCCCGGGCUUAACCUGGGAACUGCGUUUGAAACUACAAGGCUAGAGUGUGACAGAGGGGGGUGGAAUUCCACGUGUAGCAGUGAAAUGCGUAGAGAUGUGGAGGAACACCAAUGGCGAAGGCAGCUCGCUGGGACGUGACUGACGCUGAGACGCGAAAGCGUGGGGAGCAAACAGG